GACAGACACAUUUCCUCGGCUUAGAAUUAGCUACGGUAGUAGCCGCGAAAAAUGACACUACCUUGCUGUCCUCUUCACCCAACUGAACACAUUUUAUUGGCUUAGAAUUACAGCAACAAUCGUUAAACACACUGCGAACUCACGGUCCUCUUUUCCCGAUUUACCCUCUCUUGGCUUAAAACAACUCACUGUUGUCGGCUAAGACCGCUGAACGGGCUACAUGUUGUAAACAGCAGUGGCCCGCUGGCCUGGUCCUCCGGUAACGUUAGCAGUUAGCAAGAUUAGCAGGCCAGGAUCCCUUUACUGGCUGUGUCCCAAUUGUUUUUGCAAGUAACCAACUCGGGUACUCUAUGCUAUACAAUUCAAUGUGAGUACACGAAUAUUGAAAUUACAUAAAAAGC